rnacentral:lncRNA from 1 species
GUAGAGACUGUCCUGGAGUGUUUGUGCCGCCUGCUUUUCUGGGACUACACACCAAUCUCUCUGGCUGACCAUGCAAUAAGUAUUUUGCAAUUACAUCUGUUUGGUCAUUAUCUAUGCAGGCCAAAGAAACUGAGAUACUUAUUUAUGAGUUCAUAAACUUUGCACGCAAGAACCUGGAAAGUCCUGAAGGUGCAGUGCUGUCUAAUACCGCUGGUUCUGUAAUAACCCUUUCAACCAUUGGGGUGUUGCACAGAGCAUUGUGGUGAAAAUCCAGCAAACAAAAGAAGAACUAUGUGGAAGCUGACAUUGUCUUGUUGUCAGCCAUAUUGCUACCCUUAGCCAUUUUAUGGAACAAAAUGUCUGGUGUCUAGAUUGAUUUCUUUAUACUCUGUGAAAGACUUAUUCUAUUUUUCUGAACUAUUUUUAUUUAGUUAGCCAGAGAGAGGAAGUGUUAGCUGACCCAGGGAUGGAUGUACUAUGUGUGUUUUUGAUAUAUGUUGAGUGUGCCAAGGAUAGAUUCCCAUGUUUUGAGGAACUGCGUGAGGAUAUGACUGGUUUUGACUGGACCUUUGGAAUAGGAAAAUGGUUAAAAGGUAUAGGACACAAGGUCCUGGUUGUGAUUAU